CGUCGCUCCCCUGGCUUUCGCGCCUCAGCGUCAGUGUCAGCCCAGCAACCCGCCUUCGCCGCAGGUGUUCCUCUCGAUAUCUACGCAUUUCACCGCUACACCGAGAAUUCCAGUUGCCCCUUCUGCACUCUAGUCGCACAGUAUCAGUUGACCUUUCCGAGUUAAGCCCGGAGAUUUCACAACUGACUUGUGCUGACCGCCUACGCGCCCUUUACGCCCAGUAAAUCCGAACGACGCUUGCUCCCCCCGUAUUACCGCGGCUGCUGGCACGGAGUUAGCCGGAGCUUACAAAUGGUACCGUCAUCAUAGGGGGUAUUAACCCCUACUAAUUCUUCCCAUUCUUGCGAAGUUUACAUCCCGAGGGAUUUCAUCCUUCACGCGGCGUUGCUGGGUCAGGCUUUCGCCCAUUGCCCAAAAUUCCCGACUGCUGCCUCCCGUAGGAGUCUGACCCGUAUGUCAGUGUCAGUGUGACCGACCGCCCUCUCAGGCCGGUUACAGAUCGUCGCCUUGGUAAGCCGUUACCCUACCAACUAGCUAAUCUGCCGCAGGCUCCUCUUCAGGCGCGAGGUCCUAAAAUCCCCCGCUUUAACAACUGUCACCAUGUGGUGCCGCUGCAUUAUGCGGUGUUAGCCCAAGUUUC
rnacentral:rRNA from 1 species